UGACACUUUUCGGAGCGUAAACUCCUUUUCUUAGGGAAGAAUUCUGACGGUACCUAAGGAAUAAGCACCGGCUAACUCCGUGCCAGCAGCCGCGGUAAUACGGAGGGUGCAAGCGUUACUCGGAAUCACUGGGCGUAAAGGGCGCGUAGGCGGAUUAUCAAGUCUCUUGUGAAAUCUAAUGGCUUAACCAUUAAACUGCUUGGGAAACUGAUAGUCUAGAGUGAGGGAGAGGCAGAUGGAAUUGGUGGUGUAGGGGUAAAAUCCGUAGAUAUCACCAAGAAUACCCAUUGCGAAGGCGAUCUGCUGGAACUCAACUGACGCUAAGGCGCGAAAGCGUGGGGAGCAAACAGGAUUAGAUACCCUGGUAGUCCACGCCCUAAACGAUGUACACUAGUUGUUGGGGUGCUAGUCAUCUCAGUAAUGCAGCUAACGCAUUAAGUGUACCGCCUGGGGAGUACGGUCGCAAGAUUAAAACUCAAAGGAAUAGACGGGGACCCGCACAAGCGGUGGAGCAUGUGGUUUAAUUCGAAGAUACGCGAAGAACCUUACCUGGGCUUGAUAUCCUAAGAACCUUUUAGAGAUAAGAGGGUGCUAGCUUGCUAGAACUUAGAGACAGGUGCUGCACGGCUGUCGUCAGCUCGUGUCGUGAGAUGUUCGGUUAAGUCCGGCAACGAGCGCAACCCACGUAUUUAGUUGCUAACAGUUUGGCUGAGCACUCUAAAUAUACUGCCUUCGUAAGGAGGAGGAAGGUGUGGACGACGUCAAGUCAUCAUGGCCCUUAUGCCCAGGGCGACACACGUGCUACAAUGGCAUAUACAAUGAGACGCAAUAUCGCGAGAUGGAGCAAAUCUAUAAAAUAUGUCCCAGUUCGGAUUGGAGUCUGCAACUCGACUCCAUGAAGCCGGAAUCGCUAGUAAUCGUAGAUCAGCCAUGCUACGGUGAAUACGUUCCCGGGUCUUGUACUCACCGCCCGUCACACCAUGGGAGUUGAUUUCACUCGAAGCGGGGAUGCUAAGCUAGCUACCCUCCACAGUGGAAUCAGCGACUGGGGUGAAGUCGUAACAAGGUAACCGUAGGAGAACCUGCGGUUGGAUCACCUCCUUUCUAGA
rnacentral:rRNA from 1 species